UACGAAGGGGGCUAGCGUUGCUCGGAAUCCCUGGGCGUAAAGGGCGCGUAGGCGGAUCUUUACGUCGGGGGUGAAAGCCUGUGGCUCAACCACAGAAUUGCCUUCGAUACUGGGGAUCUCGAGACCGGAAGAGGUGAGUGGAACUGCGAGUGUAGAGGUGAAAUUCGUAGAUAUUCGCAAGAACACCAGUGGCGAAGGCGGCUCACUGGUCCGGUUCUGACGCUGAGGCGCGAAAGCGUGGGGAGCAAACAGG
rnacentral:rRNA from 1 species